UAAGUAACUCCGGUUAAUAAUGUUUAUAUCAAAAGGACACGUAACAAUACGUGAUAACAAAACUAUAUUAUGCGUCAGUUAGGUUGUACGUUUUUGCUGUUUUUGCUCACAUUUUUGCCAAAAAACCGCUGUUAUGAGCUAACUUUUGCCCUAGCGUCGGGUAAAGAGCAAUGUUUUUACGAAGAGAUUCAGAAAAAUACCGAAACUAGAUUUGAAUUUCAGGUGAUUAAAAGGGGUGACCACCUUAGUGACAUUAUUUUGCUUGACCCCCAACGUCAUGUCAUCCACCACCAAAGAAAAAAACUGAAUGGGGGACAUUCCUUUAUUACCGAAUAUUCGGGCACUUAUUCUCUUUGUUUCAGUAACAAAUUUUUAAAUUUUUUUAUAAAUAAUCAAAUGGUUUAUUUGGAAUGGGAAAUAGAAAAAGGGCCAAUUCCUGGCUUAUUAGGAAACGAAAGUUUAACACAGAUUGAAAAAUCAGCAGAAGCGAUUCACCAAACUUUGAAAAAAAUUUACAAAAUGCAGAUUUGGAGCAAGUGGCGUAUGAGUGGCGCAAAAGCGAGAUCAGAGGCGUUAAAUGGAAAAGUGUUUUGGUGGUCAAUUUUGGAAACUUGUGUUAUUAUAAUGACAGGUCUCGGACAGGUGCACAUCGUGCAAAAAUUUUUUAAAUAAAUAAUUAUUUUAACUCCUGAA